AGAAAUUUCAACAUUACAUUCAUUGGAGUGAUAAAUUAAUUUUACAAAAAUAUACAAGUAAAUAAAAUCUCAAACUAAUAUUACAAUCAUUUGGAUUUGAUUACAUUCCAAAAAUAAUAUUACAAAAGAGUUUAUACAACUGCUCGAACGUACUUACAUACAGAUAGUUACGUGAUUACAUCAAAAUCUAAUGUAUAGGAGUAUACCUACAAUACACUUAAAAUUUAUUUCCACACGUCUUCAAGUCACAGCUUCAAGUGAUUUCACUCAACUGCCUUGUCCUUACGUUCACCUCUCUUGCUUGCCUCAAUUCAAUCUCCUCUACUUCCUUCCUUGGAAGGCUCUUUUCUCACUUUGUCCAAUGUAUUAGUAGGCUGCAUCCUUGAAGGGGGUUCUAGCAAAGUAAAGUUUGGUGUACUGAGUUGUUGGACGACGAUCAAGCACAAGCUUCAUAUAGUGACGAAACCUUCUGCGAAUGUAUGGAUUCUUAUCUUCGAUCAAAUCAAUAGGACGUAGAUCCAACACAUUCCCGAGGGACAAUUGAAUCCAGUAACGCUGAUAACCAAGAUUUACAUACAUAACAUACUGUCAGGCAGAGUUCUCUCCACGUCAAGCGCUUCAUAAUGCUCACCAAUAUAUCAUGGUCCAUCUCAUCCCACCUUCUAUUAUUCUGUGUGUACACCUCGAAUAGCACCUUUUGCUUCUUCUCAUGCUUGCGCAACCACUUGAGGGGGGGGUUGCUGCUGCUAUCGCUUCUUAGAUCUUUUAACUAGUGGCAAUGACGUCACCAGAUCAUUUAACGACUUCAAUAGCAAAUCAUUAUCAGCAUCCUUUAUUUGAAGCUGAAACAACAAGACAACUAAAGUUUGAGCUUUGAUAAGCACUACAAAAUCCAUUCUCAGGAAUUAACUCUAAACAUAAGACAUUGAUUCAAUACAGAAACCACACCUUCUCAGAUAAAAUCUUGUUGCUUUUCUCCAAAUAUACAUUCCUUUUUUGCAAAUCUUUUAGCUAAGAGACUAACCCACUAACAUCCAUCUGGACAACACAUUAAAAUCCAUAACAAUCUAAAUCAAAGACAAGCACACAAAACAUCAACACAACCACAUCCAUGAAUAAAAUAAAGUACUAAAUUAAAAUAAUACUAUGUUUUCCCUUUCUUUUCCUACAUUUCUUCAUACCCUAAUUUCAUAGUUCACUCCUUAGGACACACAUGAAAUAAAGUAACAUGCUGAAAAAAAAAAUUAGAAAAGUGAAUAACAAUAAUAGAAAAAGAAAGGAAAAUCAUAUGAAUUUCCACCUCUGAGAGUCGAUUUCCGCUUUCUAACUUUCUCAUUCCUACAUUAUCUGCACACAAAGAUGUCCAAAUUGAAAAAAAAAAUCAUAUGAAUUUAAUAAAAUAAAAAUAUUUUGUAACUGUAUUUUUUUAUAAUAAAAAAAGAAAAGGAAAUUGAGAGAGACCGAUAGGGAUAGGAGGUUUGGUGAGAUCCAGACCAGAAGAUUCUUUGCUUAAUCUCUCUAGUGCUAUUUUUUGUCUGUUCUCUUCUAACUUUAGAAAUCAACACCAUGUCAAUUAAUUAAAAGAAAAUGAGGUUAAAAUUCAUAAUUAAUUGGAGAAAAUAGUAGAAAUACAAGGGAAUAGGGAUGGUGAUUCAAUCAGUACCAUUUGUGGACCUAGAGAUGUGUGAUGAGCGUCCAUAAAUGGUGAUGAAUUCGGUCCUCUUCUUUCUCCCUCUAUGAGCCUCGAUUGAAUUUGAAUUUGAAUUUUCUCUCGAAAGCCCUCCUGUUCCUUUGAUCUACUGUGCAACGGGAAGGAUGUGCAGGAAGAAUGAGCACUGGCGAGCUUGAGAUGCGAGGUUAAAAGGCAAGGGAAUCUGUCCUUCGGUGCUACGGCGAGGUUGAGAGGCCAUGGCAGUGAGGGAAUCGGAGGGGCUUGAGCUGAGAGGAACCGGUAGCCAGCGGGCAACUGUGAUUUGUGAAAAAGUGGGUGGCUGCGCAGUCUCCUUGUAAAGAGGGCCGAGGGAGGUUUUUUUUCACCGAAACGAC
rnacentral:misc_RNA from 1 species